ensembl:lncRNA
UUUGAAAAGUCAAAGUUAUCCCCGUCAAGCCUAUAUGAGGAAGGAGCCACUCUUCCUCCUCCUAAGGGAUUUCUUUCCUGCAGACAUUUCUUAAUGCCCAUGAGUGCAGCUUUGUUGCUUUCUAGAUUUGUCUGCAGAGGAGGGAUGGAGUGGGAAGGAGGAAAUGUCGGGUUCCCUUUAGCCGCUUUUCUCCCAGACUACCUCUGCCAGACAUCUUUCCAGACUGACAUUGCGAGUCAUUAGCUCAUUGUCAUGGAGAGGAGGCCUGAGAGAAACUUUGGCCACGUGUCUCAUAUAGGGGCCUGGACUUGCUUCUCUGGCCUCUGCCGUGUGACCUCAGCUAGGCUCUCUGACAUUCUGGAGCUCCCUGUAUUAUCAGAAUUGUUAUAAUUAUUGGAUACAAAGUGACUUGUACUGAACUGUUAGGGAAAGGAGAGUCUAUAUAAUCUGGGACAGCUGCAGUUUGGGGCAUUAUCAGUGUUCACGCACAGACAUUCAUACCUUGGAUCAAAACCUCAGACCUCCAGUUAGUUAUGGGGCUUUUUAGGGAGGGCUAGCUGCCCUUCCUCCUGGGAUAAGACCCUUCUGCAGCCAGAGUUCCAGUCCAGUUCUCACUGGUCCUCCCAGGAAUCUGCCUGGGCAAAGCUAGUAAAUAAUGCCGGGAAGGGGGUACAGAGAAUCGCAGGGGCGCCCUCAUUGAAGACCACUACUGGAGUCUGCUGGAAGGUCACUGGCAAGUGGGGCAUUUGCUCUACAUUGAUGAUGGCUCCUAUCUGGUACCGUUACUUUGUCUUUAAACAGUAUUUAAGAUCCCCACAAAGGCUGAGGGAGGUGAGAAUGAUAGAGAUCAUCCUUUUAUUCCCACAGAUAAUCUACAUCUGGUCUGGCUUCAGCUUAAUCUUGAAAUGUUGCCAUUGCUCUGUGCCGAGGUCAGUUGUAAAGGGUUUAGAACCUGGAGGGUGAGGAUGGAGCAAGGACUUCUUAUUCCUGGAAUCCUUUAAAUCCUCAAGUGUACAUGCUUUAUUUUAUAUUAUUAUUAUUAUUAUUUAUUAUCAUGUAAAUACAUCCUUCCUGUUUUCUUCCAGUCUUAAGGUGGAGAAAUCCUUAUCUGAUUUCUACCAGAUAGGCUCUGUUUUUAGAAUAGGAUUUUGCCCUCAUCAGCUGGUCCUAAGGAUCUUUCUCUCCCCUUUCUUCUAGGAGCAGAGGUUGAGGGAUGUAGACUCGACCUUGGACCUUGCCUUCUUAGAUCUCAGUAGCGAUUAGUAGGCAUCUUUUGAUGAAGUGAGGAAAUUUUGUCUUCCACUGGCCGCUAAAGAGAUAAUUCCUAGAUUUCUUCCCCUUGCUGCAGAAGAUAGCAAUGGUUCAGGGUACUAGAAAGAACCAAAUGUUGUGCUUUCCCUCUCCUUCAGGGAGCUGCUCUUAGGUUUGUCUCAGAGACUCCAAACUUAGAGAACCUCAACAUCUUUGGAGUUGCUUUCAGAGUUUAGGGAGAGGGUGAUUUGAGACUCCGGGGAAGAAGCUCUGACAUUGCAAAAGUGACUAAGCCUGGAAUAAUUUGGGAGUUGAAAGGCUGGUGGGGGAAAUGACCAAGAGAAAUACAAUGGAAAUGGGAAUGGAGGAGAAAAAAUUGUUUUAUUCAAAUGAUAAACAAGCUUAGGCCCUGGGGAUACAAACAGUUGUAAAAAUGGCACAUCAGGCAAUCUUAUCCCUUUAUUUCCUCUGCCAAGUGCCAGGCACCCAAACCUAAAUUGUUUCCAUUUUCCCAUCUCAGAUUGCAGAAUUUGUCUGGACCAUGGAAGCUGCCUUGCCCCAUCUGGGAUCUUAAAAUGCCUUUUUCUUUGAUUUUGAGGUAUCCAUUUCCCCAAACAGUGACCAUUCCCUUGUCAGCUCAGGGUGGCCAGUGGAGGCUGCCUUGGCCUUUUAGAGAGGAUCUCUCUUAGGGUCUGAUUUUCAUACUCUGAUCUUUGUUCAUUGUAUCAUAUGUACAUUAUGUGCUUUUCUGAGAUGGAGGCUUCUGAAUCCAGUAUUUGGGACUGUAUGCAUAAACUUGCGUAAGCACAAUGAUGGUGAUGAUGAUGUGUAUACAUUUCAUAAGCUGAUUGUCAUAAUGAAUGCAUUUUAUAAUUCAAAUGAUGUUGUAGAUUUACAAUCUCUCCUAUUUAUUUUGUACUGAUUUAUUUGUAUAUUUUGUGAUUUGUUUAAAAAGGGUUUUAUUCUUUUUAGAUAAAAAUGGUGAUUUUUCUGUUCAAUUUUCCAGUGGCUAUGUGUUGUUGCCUGUUCCACAGGAUGCUAAAACCAUGUAUUUUUCAUCCCAGCUCCUCUCCUUGUUCUGCUCAGCUAUGGACAAAAACAAAACAAAACAAAAAUGCUUUCCUGACAGCCAGUCAGCUGGGCAGUUUCCUGACUUGAGCCUCCAACUCCAAACUUCCCUUCUCUUAGUAAGGUCAGAGACCCCAUCCUCCUCUCUUGCCCCCAGCCCCAACCUGCUGAUCAGGACGUGUGAUUCUGCUCGAGCUUCUCAGAGUUUUGAAGAACCCCUAGCCCUGUAGGGCCGCUCAUGGCCCAAGCCAAGCUUCUGACUGCUUGACAGCCACAGACCAAUUUCAGGCCCUGUGCUCAAACCGGGCCAGGCUCCCUGGACUGCCCCCCCUCAGAACCAUCCACAGAAGAAGGUUGGAGAGAGGAAUGGAUCCCGAGGCUCACUUACUGAACUACAAGCAGGGCAGAGCAGGGAGGCUACAGAUGAUUAGGGAAAUCAGAAUAGGAAGUGGCUCCCCAAGGUGUCAGCCCUAGUCUUCAUGGUCCAGCCUGUCUCCCGCUGGAGGGCCCUAUCUCCUUGUUCCAUCUCUCCCUUUCCUUCCUUAAGCUGCCUGCUUACCCACUCUCUGCUCUCAGCUCUGAAGCCUGCAGAAGGUGGUCUUAUGUGCCCAGAGCCCCCUAAACCUGCCUGAGGAGCCUGCCUUCCCAGCAUUCUCCCGUCUGUCUCUUUCCCUCUGGGUUUUAAAUAACAUUGUCCCUCAGAAUCCAGUUUCUUCCCCUCGGCCCUUUCUUUUCCCAACUGUCCCAUUGGCCCCUCUGCAGUCUGCUCCAUUGGACUUCCGUUUGUCCUGUGGUUAGAGACCACUUCUUCAGGAGAGCCAGUGGCCUUGCCUCCAUCUGCCCUCCCCCCCUCCCCCCCCCCCUCUGGCCGGUGCUUUCCCAGUCACUUAUUUUGUCUGGUUCCAAGAUCGACUCAGGAAAAUGUGUCAAGGGAAGUGAAGGAAAUGAUUUCUUAACUGUGAGGACAACUCUUCAGAUGCCUGUGAUGUCCUCUGCAUCCAGGGGUGCCCAUGGUUGCCAAUUCCUUUCUAAGCUUUAUCAUGUGCUUUUGGGGAAGGGGAAAGGAAAGGUGGGUUCAGUCGACCUGUUGCCCUCCCAGCACAUCUUUUCAUCUCAGCACAUCUAAUGAUGGAACCCAAAUCAAUCAAAAGAUUCUUUGGCAAAAGUGAUUGGAGCAAAAAGAUUGACUAGAGUUGGUUUCUGGAAAUUGUCC